UUACGCUGAUGAAGCCCUCGAUUCUCUUAGCAUCUGCGAUCUAAACCUCUCCUCAAUUGACUACGCAGAUUUAAAUCUUCUCCUACCCAACUCUUUUCCUUGAACGACGGCACCUUCUCCUCCCUUGCUCUUCUACCGAUUGACGAUGCCUUCUCCUCCUUAGAUCUUCUCCUCGAUCGACAACGUCUUCUCCUCCUUAGCUCUUCUCCUCGAUCAACAACGCCUUCUCCUCCUUAGCUCUUCUCCUCGAUCGACGUCUUCUCCUCGAUCGACGACGUAAUGGGAGGUAUAAAAGAACAAAGCUCCGGAUCUGAUUCGAAAUAAUUAGGGCAUUGGCCUUCACUUCGAAUUGGGGAAAAUAGCUUCUUCAGGAAAAUCUAUCAGGCAUUCAGGCAGGCUAUCUAUGAUAGAGAAUCCAGAAAAUAGUAUGCUUUGAGUACAAUAAACAUUGGAGAAGAGUCUGAAAAGCUAAAUGGUUGGGUUGUUUAUUUUAAUUUGGAAAUCGAAUAUGGAAAUCCUCCACAGGAAGCGGUUAUGAAAGUGUUUCAAAGAGCAUUGCAGUAUUGUGAUUCGAAGAAGGUGCAGCUGGCUUUAUUGGGUGUGUAUGAACGGACUGAGCAGCACAAACUGGGUGAUGAGCUGCUAGAGAAAAUGGUGAAGAAGUUCAAGCAUUCCUGCAAGGUUUGGCUGUGGCGUAUACAGUGGGCAUUAAAGCAAAACCACGACAACAGUUAGUCUAUUGUAAACUGUGCUCACGUAUGUCUGCCCAGGCAUAAGCACAUAAAAUUUAUAACACAAACAACAAUUCUGGAGUUUAAAUGUGGGGUGGCUGAUAGGGGAAGAUCCAUGUUUGAAAAAAUGCUUAAGGAGUAUCCAAAACGAACCGACUUGUGGAGUGUUUAUCUUGAUCAGAUCUGAACUUGGCUUAGAUCUUGAGUCUGACAUAAGCUCGAUGUAUCAUAUUGAACAAGUUGUCAAGUAUAGAGUUGUCAGUUCUAGCCCUGCUUCAAGACGAAUUGUCCUCAGUUUUACAACAAGACCAAUGAGCCCUUCCCGUAAGGAAGCCAUCAGGGAUUAUGAUGAGGAUCUGCUUCAUGGAUCAGAUGUUUCUUCAUCAGAACAUCAAAGGAGGAAAGGAGGUUCUUUGAUAGGGAAUUAUAGGGAAAGUAAUGGGCAAAGGAGCAAUGUGGCACGUAGUUUCACCUUCAAGGAACUCGCAAUAGCCACCCAAAAAUUUUAAGGAAUCCAAUCUACUAGGAGAAGGUGGGUUCGGGAGCGUGUACAAAGGAGUCUUCGUCUCCCAAUUGGCAAACGAUCCAAGCAUAUCAUAUAGCUAGCUAGCUAGUUUGAUAUUUUGU